GAUGAACGCUGGCGGCGUGCCUAAUACAUGCAAGUCGAGCGAACGGACGAGAAGCUUGCUUCUCUGAUGUUAGCGGCGGACGGGUGAGUAACACGUGGAUAACCUACCUAUAAGACUGGGAUAACUUCGGGAAACCGGAGCUAAUACCGGAUAAUAUUUUGAACCGCAUGGUUCAAAAGUGAAAGACGGUCUUGCUGUCACUUAUAGAUGGAUCCGCGCUGCAUUAGCUAGUUGGUAAGGUAACGGCUUACCAAGGCAACGACGCAUAGCCGACCUGAGAGGGUGAUCGGCCACACUGGAACUGAGACACGGUCCAGACUCCUACGGGAGGCAGCAGUAGGGAAUCUUCCGCAAUGGGCGAAAGCCUGACGGAGCAACGCCGCGUGAGUGAUGAAGGUCUUCGGAUCGUAAAACUCUGUUAUUAGGGAAGAACAUAUGUGUAAGUAACUGUGCACAUCUUGACGGUACCUAAUCAGAAAGCCACGGCUAACUACGUGCCAGCAGCCGCGGUAAUACGUAGGUGGCAAGCGUUAUCCGGAAUUAUUGGGCGUAAAGCGCGCGUAGGCGGUUUUUUAAGUCUGAUGUGAAAGCCCACGGCUCAACCGUGGAGGGUCAUUGGAAACUGGAAAACUUGAGUGCAGAAGAGGAAAGUGGAAUUCCAUGUGUAGCGGUGAAAUGCGCAGAGAUAUGGAGGAACACCAGUGGCGAAGGCGACUUUCUGGUCUGUAACUGACGCUGAUGUGCGAAAGCGUGGGGAUCAAACAGGAUUAGAUACCCUGGUAGUCCACGCCGUAAACGAUGAGUGCUAAGUGUUAGGGGGUUUCCGCCCCUUAGUGCUGCAGCUAACGCAUUAAGCACUCCGCCUGGGGAGUACGACCGCAAGGUUGAAACUCAAAGGAAUUGACGGGGACCCGCACAAGCGGUGGAGCAUGUGGUUUAAUUCGAAGCAACGCGAAGAACCUUACCAAAUCUUGACAUCCUUUGACAACUCUAGAGAUAGAGCUUUCCCCUUCGGGGGACAAAGUGACAGGUGGUGCAUGGUUGUCGUCAGCUCGUGUCGUGAGAUGUUGGGUUAAGUCCCGCAACGAGCGCAACCCUUAAGCUUAGUUGCCAUCAUUAAGUUGGGCACUCUAAGUUGACUGCCGGUGACAAACCGGAGGAAGGUGGGGAUGACGUCAAAUCAUCAUGCCCCUUAUGAUUUGGGCUACACACGUGCUACAAUGGACAAUACAAAGGGCAGCGAAACCGUGAGGUCAAGCAAAUCCCAUAAAGUUGUUCUCAGUUCGGAUUGUAGUCUGCAACUCGACUACAUGAAGCUGGAAUCGCUAGUAAUCGUAGAUCAGCAUGCUACGGUGAAUACGUUCCCGGGUCU
rnacentral:rRNA from 1 species